rnacentral:rRNA from 1 species
CCCUUAGAUGUCCUGGGCCGCACGCGCGCUACACUGAUGCAUUCAACGAGUUUUACCUUGGCCGAGAGGCCUGGGCAAUCUUUUAAACCUUCAUCGUGAUAGGGAUAGAUUAUUGCAAUUAUUAAUCUUGAACGAGGAAUUCCUAGUAAACGCAAAUCAUCAAUUUGCAUUGAUUACGUCCCUGCCCUUUGUACACACCGCCCGUCGCACCUACCGAUUGAAUGGUCCGGUGAAGCCUCGGGAUUGUGGCCAGUUCACUUUAUUGGGAGUUGGCUGUGAGAACUUGUCUAAACCUUAUCAUCUAGAGGAAGGUGAAGUCGUAACA